GCUCCCCUUCACCAGCCGGCCCACAUCAACUCCCAGAGAGGAUCGAAGCUCCUAUUCCCUCAGGGUGGGGGCAGGAUGUGGGCCAGCACCGGACCCAAGACAACAGGCCCCCUCCCGAUCUGAACCCGCUGCUCAGUGUUAUCUUCCAAGCCCAAGCUAUGACCUUCCUUCUCUCCAGAGCUCCAGAAAAGGAAUGGAAUCUGAACAUUGAGACGCUUUUCUGGCCUAAACAAUCCUUUCAUUCUCUAGGCUCAAUGAUGGGUCUAUUUCCUCCUGUAAAUGGGUCUCGUAAUCUUCAACUUUUACCUUUGCUUCUAAGGGUAAUUAAUUGGAUCUCCCUCUUGUUCUCCCUACACACUCCCCUCUCUGUUACAAGGCUCAGGUUCACCCGAGUGGAUGGCUUUUCUUUCUUUCUAUUCCACGGAGUGCUCAUUUUUAAAGCUGAUGGAGUAAGGCCUUGCCCUCUCCAGUGAACCUCUUCUCCAGAGAAGCCUGCUGGGGAAACACCACUUCCGCAGGCCUAGGAAAGCUGCUCUGCCCCGCCGAGGGCUUUUCAGAUAGUGAGGCCUGAGCCGCCAUUUCACUUUUUCUUCCCAGAUUGUUCCUGAAUAUUUGGAUAUUUAUUCUUCCAUGAAUAUGCAAACAUCUAUCAGAUAGCAAAGUCCUGCAGUCCCAUAUUAACAGAUGCUGAUGAGGGGUUGAAGAAACAGUGGUAGGAAGAUAUAUUAAUACAGCUACUUUCAAAAGCAGUUUUGUGCUGCAGAUUCAAAUCCCUUAUCUGCAAUUCAGAAAUAAAGCCAAAACAAAACAAAACAAAAACCCUGAUAACU